UACGAAGGGUGCGAGCGUUGUUCGGAAUUACUGGGCGUAAAGGGUUCGUAGGCGGGAUAGUGUGUCUGAUGUGAAAACCCUGGGCUCAACCUGGGACGUGCAUCAGAAACUGCGAUUCUUGAGUUUUGGAGAGGGUGGUGGAAUUGCUGGUGUAGGAGUGACAUCCGUAGAGAUCAGCAGGAACGCCGGAGGCGAAAGCGACCACCUGGCCAAGGACUGACGCUGAGGAACGAAAGCGUGGGGAGCAAACAGG
rnacentral:rRNA from 1 species